UCUCCGGGCACUCAGGUUUCCUCCCACAUCCCAAAAACAUGCGUGGUAGGUUAACUGAAGACUCUAAAUUGCCCAUACGUGUGAAUGUGUGCGAGAAUGGUUGUUUGUUUAUAUGUGCCCUGCGAUUGGCUGGCGACCAGUUCGGGGUGUACUCCGCCUCUCGCCCGAAGAUAGAAUUGUUAGAUGGAAUUAACCAAUCACGUUCAAAUUCUAAUUUUUUUUUUUUCUUCCCGAAACCCACAAGCACACACACACACACACACACCUACAUAAACACACGUAGCACAAACACAUGCACGUGCGCGUGCACAGACACACACACAGACACACACGCACGCACAAACACGUGCGCACACACACACACGCACACAUACAUGCACAGACACACACACAAAAACAGCAUUAAGCCCAAAGGAGAAUCCCAUGGCCUCUAAAUCUGCUUAAAUCCCCUCAAAAUAUAAUCAGAUAUUCAGAUCAAAGCCAGACAGGACUCACCCAUAUGGAUAAAGUUAGAAAUAAAAAAGAACAAGUAGUAUUGAGUGCAUGCUCGUCAUACAUGAACUAUGAAUGACCAGCACAAACAAGAGUUCUGAUUUAUGCAGGUACACAGAGAGCGAAAACACAUCCAUCCAUCCAUUUUUGUCCAUUACAGACGUGGGUGAACUGGAGCCGAGCUGACUUUGGGUGAGAGGCAGUAAUCAGCACCACCUUGGCCACGCACCUGUUUCCAAUCAGCCUUCAUCAUCACAUGCAUUUAAGCCCCCCAGAUCCAGGACUCCUCUGCCGGAGUAUUAACGCUCAACCAUGUGCUCCUUCCGUGUUCCCCUCCUUGCUGACCACGCCGCCAACCCAUCCACCUGCUUACGCCACCGCCUCCCGCACGUUCCCCGGCUCGACGACCCGCCAUUACGCCUCAAAAGAAUACUCUUGCCAUCAUGCACCCAGCAACCCCGGAGGCGCUCAGACAAGCACUCACCCUCCAAGGCGCCCAUAUAGGAAGACAGGACAAAGUUCUCCAGGAGAUCAUGGAAUCAUUAAACAC